rnacentral:tRNA from 1 species
GCGGGUGUGGCACAGAGGCGAACCGCGUCGGGUUUAAAUUCCGAUAUAGAUUAACGAUCACAUCAUGGGUUCGAUUCCCAUCAUCCGUACAA